CCUACGGGUGGCAGCAGUGAGGAAUAUUGGUCAAUGGACGAGAGUCUGAACCAGCCAAGUAGCGUGAAGGAUGACUGCCCUAUGGGUUGUAAACUUCUUUUAUAUGGGAAUAAAAGUGGGUACGCAUACCCUCUUGCAUGUACCAUAUGAAUAAGGCUCGGCUAACUCCGUGCCAGCAGCCGCGGUAAUACGGAGGAUUCGAGCGUUAUCCGGAUUUAUUGGGUUUAAAGGGAGCGUAGGUGGAUUGUUAAGUCAGUUGUGAAAGUUUGCGGCUCAACCGUAAAAUUGCAGUUGAAACUGGCAGUCUUGAGUGCGGUAGAGGUAGGCGGAAUGCGUGGUGUAGCGGUGAAAUGCAUAGAUAUCACGCAGAACUCCGAUUGCGAAGGCAGCUCACUGGACUGCAACUGACACUGAUGCACGAAAGUGUGGGUAUCAAACAGGAUUAGAUACCCCUGUAGUC
rnacentral:rRNA from 1 species